rnacentral:miRNA from 1 species
UAAUACUGCCUGGUAAUGAUU